rnacentral:rRNA from 1 species
GAUUAGCUAGUUGGUGAGGUAAAGGCUCACCAAGGCUGCGAUCGGUAGCCGGCCUGAGAGGGUGAUCGGCCACACUGGAACUGAGACACGGUCCAGACUCCUACGGGAGGCAGCAGUGGGGAAUUUUGCGCAAUGGGGGAAACCCUGACGCAGCAACGCCGCGUGGAGGAUGAAGGUUUUCGGAUUGUAAACUCCUGUCAGUGGGGAAAAAAGCUUGCGACCUAAUACGUCGAGGAGCUUGAUUGUACCCGCAGAGGAAGCCCCGGCAAACUCUGUGCCAGCAGCCGCGGUAAUACAGAGGGGGCGAGCGUUAUUCGGAAUUAUUGGGCGUAAAGGGCGCGUAGGCGGCCGAUCAAGUGGAAGGUGAAAUCCCUCGGCUCAACCGAGGAACUGCCUUCCAAACUGACUGGCUUGAGUCCGGGAGAGGUGAGUGGAAUUCCCAGUGUAGCGGUGAAAUGCGUAGAUAUUGGGAGGAACACCGGUGGCGAAGGCGGCUCACUGGACCGGAACUGACGCUGAGGCGCGAAAGCGUGGGGAGCAAACGGGAUUAGAUACCCCGGUAGUCCACGCCGUAAACGAUGAGUGCUUGGUGUAGCGGGUAUCGACCCCUGCUGUGCCGAAGUUAACGCAUUAAGCACUCCGCCUAGGGAGUACGGUCGCAAGGCUGAAACUCA